rnacentral:rRNA from 2 species
ACCAACGGAAACUGGGAAACUUGUGUGCAGAUGAGGACAGAGGAACUCCGUGUGUAGCGGUGAAAUGCGAGAUAUAUGGAAGAACACCAGUGGCGAAGGCGGCUGUCUCGUCUGUAACUGACGCUGAGGCUCGAAAGUAUGGGUAGCAAACAGGAUUAGAUACCCUGGAAGACCAUACCGUAAACGAUGAAUGCUAAGUGUUGGAGGGUUUCCGCCCUUCAGUGCUGCAGCUAACGCAUAAAGCAUUCCGCCUGGGGAGUACGGCCGCAAGGGUGAAACUCAAAGGAAUGACGGGGGCCCGCACAAGCGGUGGAGCAUGUGGUUUAAUUCGAAGCUACGCGAAGAACCUUACCAGGUGUUGACAUACUAUGCAAAUCUAAGAGAUUAGACGUUCCCUUCGGGGACAUGGAUACAGGGGGUGCAUGGUUGUCGUCAGCUCGUGUCGUGAGAUGUUGGGUUAAGUCCCGCACCGAGCGCAACCCUUAUUAUCUGUUGCCAGCAUUAAGUUGGGCACUCUGGUGAGACUGCCGGAGAGAAAGCGGAGGAAGGUGGGGAUGACGUCAAAUCAUGAUGCCCCUUAUCCCCUGGGCUACACACG